GACGAACGCUGGCGGCGUGCUUAACACAUGCAAGUCGAACGAUGAACCUCUUCGGAGGGGAUCAGUGGCGAACGGGUGAGUAACACGUGGGCAACCUGCCCCCGGCUCUGGGAUAACUCCAAGAAAUUGCGGCUAAUACCGGAUGUUCACCGCUUCCCGCAUGGGUGGUGGUGCAUAGGGUAUCCGGCUGGGGAUGGGCCCGCGGCCGAUCUGCUUGUUGGGGGGGUAGUGGCCUACCAAGGCGACGACGGGUCGCCGGCCCGGGAGGGUGAACGGCCACACUGGGACUGAGGGACGGAGCAGAGUGCAACAGGAGGCAGCGGUGGGGAGUCUUGCCCAAUGAGCGGGAGCCUGACGCGACGGCGCCGGGUGGGGGAUGACGGCCUUCGGGUUGGGAACCUCAGUCAGCUGAUACGAAGCGGAAGUGACGGUACCUGCAGAAGAAGCACCGGCUAACUACGUG
rnacentral:rRNA from 1 species